AUACGGAGGGUGCAAGCGUUACUCGGAAUCACUGGGCGUAAAGCGCGCGCAGGCGGUCUUUUAAGUUGGAUGUGAAAGCCUACGGCUCAACCGUAGAACUGCAUCCAAAACUGUCAGGCUAGAGUGUGGGAGAGGAAGAUGGAAUUAGUUGUGUAGGGGUAAAAUCCGUAGAGAUAACUAGGAAUACCAAAAGCGAAGGCAAUCUUCUGGAACACUACUGACGCUGAGGCGCGAAGGCGUGGGGAGCAAACAGGAUUAGAUACCCCAGUAGUCC
rnacentral:rRNA from 1 species